ensembl:lncRNA novel transcript
CACGUGGCUGUGCCACGCUGCUGAGUUGAGUGUGUGCACAAGCACACCAGUGCACUGGGGCCUGUGUAGAGGCCUUUAGGAAACCAUAUUUUUGAAGUCUUUAAAAAAUAAUGAAGAGUAAAUGUUCUGUUAUAUAUUCCCAAACAUUCACAUGUAUUUGACUUGUUUUUUCCAUGUAAAUUUUGUAUCUUCAGAACGCUUUAAUGCAAUGUUUUCUACCUUUACUUCUCCAGAUUAUUCACCUUAAGUGAUUUCAGUUUGUAAAUGAUCAGUGGAUAAAAUCACAGAAAAUUGUCAAAUUUCCUCGGGAAAGUUUUGACCUGAGUGCUUUUUUGGUACCACGAGACCCGGCUCUCUGCCAGCAUCAACCACUCACACCCCAGGGGGAUGAGCUCUCCAAGCCCAGGAUUCUGGCAAGAGAGGUGAAGAAAGUGGAUGUGCAGAGUUUGGCUGGGGAAUAGGACAUGCUCCUGAGCAAAAGCCCAUCCUCACUCAGCGCUAACAUCAGCAGCAGCCCAAAAGGUUCUCCUUCUUCAUCAAGAAAAAGUGGAACCAGCUGUCCCUCCAGCAAAAACAGCAGCCCUAAUAGCAGCCCACGGACUUUGGGGAGGAGCAAAGGGAGGCUCUGGCUGCCCCAGAUUGGCAGCAAAAAUAAACUGUCAAGUAGUAAGAAGAACUUGGAUGCCAGCAAAGAGAAUGGGGCUGGGCAGAUCUGUGAGCUGGCUGACGCCUUGAGCCGAGGGCAUAUGCGGGGGGUGGGCAGCCAACCAGAGCUGGUCACUCCUCAGGACCAUGAGGUAGCUUUGGCCAAUGGAUUCCUUUAUGAGCAUGAAGCAUAUGGCAAUGGCUAUAGCAAUGGUCAGCUUGGAAACCACAGUGAAGAAGACAGCACUGAUGACCAAAGAGAAGACACUCAUAUUAAGCCUAUUUAUAUGCAAUUUCAUGCCAUUCAGGAAUUCUGAGUGGGGGCCAUUACGUCACUUAUGCCAAAAACCCAAACUGCAAGUGGUACUGCUACAAUGGCAGCAUCUGUGAGGAACGUCACCCUGAUGAAAUUGACACCAACUCUGCCUACAUUCUUUUCUAUGAGCAGCAGAGGAUAGACUACGCACAAUUUCUGCCAAAGAUUGAUGGCAAAAAGAUGGCAGACACAAGCAGUAUGGAUGAAGACUUUGAGUCUGAUUACAAAAAGUACUGUGUGUUACAGCAAAGCUACCACUCUGGCUGCUAGACAGCUUGGUGGGGAGGGAGAUGACUCCUUGUAGCUGAUACUUGGCAAAGAUGUCACUGAGAGGCAAGCUAAAUGUAGUUAUUUUAUCCUGUUAGAAUACAAAUUCUAAUUAAAAUAGUUAACUUUAAGAGUAGUAGUAAUUUUAUUUUGAAGUCUCAUGCAAGUUGUCUGAUAGAGAACUUUCAGGCAGAUCCCACCAUUAGCCUGUAAACAAAAGGUUUGGCACCAGCCACCUGGGACCAAAUAAGAAUUCAAUUGUGCUUGUCCAGAUAUGAACAAAUAUGUAGUGAGUAUAGAGUUUAUCAAUAAUCAUAACAAAUAUUAAAGAUUUCCUUGGAGUCAAAGUAAAAAACAAAAAAUUAUAAUGUUGUCUAGGGAUGACAUGAUAUGCUACCUCCUUUUUCCUGAAGUUUUAUUCCAUUCUGUUGACAAGAUGGAGAAAGCAAGAUCAUGAAGGUGUGCAAAUGAUUCUUACGGCAUGGGCGAGGAUUUUUCAAUUUAUUUUUUAAAGUUUCCAUACCCUUUCUUUGUCUUUCUUGCUUUUUGUUUUUGCCUUUGUGUUUAUGUUUGAGAUACAACCAGUCAUUGGUGGCAGGGGCAUAGAGUGGUCAGUCUGAAAGGGAGGCUCUCUUAAGAGCUAUGUGCCUUCCACCCAGAGGGAGACCCAGUAGAAAGAAAAACAUCCUGGGAAAUCCAGCUACCAUGGCCCUCCCAGUGGAGGCAUCUUACAUUUAGGAUACUUCAAGUAUCCUCAGAAAUGUAUUCUGCACCCCCGGCCCCGCCCAUGCUGAGGGAAGGGGAGCAGUUGCCAAUAUUUGCACCAUCUUCACAUGCACAUGUUGCAACAAGAGCUUCUGGGAAGGUAAGCAGCAUCGGAGCUAGAUCACGUUUCACAAUUAGUGGUUGUUCUUUUCCGUGUUUAUUUUGCACUUUAAAAAAGAGAGAACGCAUGCAAAUGAACUUGCUUGUGUGUAUUUGAUGGCUCUAAGGGCUAUAAAUUACAAACAAAACACAUCCCAGACAUUAGGAGUUCAUAAGUAUAUUUAAUGAAAUUGGUGGUUUUAGGAAGUCAACUUUAGUUUUGCUUUGUUUGCAUGUCCACUAAUUUUUUUAUUUUGAUAUUAGUCUUUUUUAAAAAAUUUUACAGUAGUCAUUGAAAGUUAUGUUUCUUUGUUUACUUCAUUUUUUCCUCUAAUUAUUCAAGACUGGCACAAAAGUAUAAAUAUUAUUUAUUUCAGGUAGAAUUUUUUUCGUGUAGUUUUUUAAUAUAUACUUGAAGGAAAUGUUUCACCUUAUUUUUGGUCUUUGUUUAUUCAUUUAGACCCUGCAAGUUGAUUCUCAUUAAUUGUCAGAUUCCACUACACUUUCUUCCUCAUAGGUAGUAAUUACCAGUGUAACUAAGCAUUUGUGUUCUGAUAUCUGAGGCCAGUAACUAUUAAUGUCUAGUUCUCAGAGCAUUUGGAAAGGUUAUCUUAAAUGGCUACCUAAAUUGAAAUCCUUUUCAGAAAAAAUAUAAUUGCAAAUAGGUAGGAGUGGCCUAAAUUAUCUAAUGUAAUAAAGUCAGACAAAAUGCAUACUUUAUAGUUUCAAGAUUUUCAGUACAUAAAAUCUGUCCUUUCCUACCUGGACAUGUCCCAUUAAAAAGUGGGAGAUUUUAAAUAAUUUCUUUACAGAUGUUUUAUUUAAGCAGGUAGCACAAUCUACUAAUGUUGUUUGAUCUGUGUUUGUUAUACUGGUUGUAAUUAAUUUUUUUAAUUCAUGAACUAGCGGAAAAUUUAUUAAAUUAACUAUUAACCACAUUCACCUUGUAAAUGACUGUAUAAAACUUGUUGACAAUGCACUGACUUUAGAAAGAUGUUAAUGUGCAUAAAUAGAGUGUAAAUAAAAUAGUGUUGAUGUACUGAAAUAUGAACUGUAUAAAAAGUAUUGGUAAUUGUAUAUGGGGUGUACCUAUUUAUCUGUAACUAUUAUCCAAACAAAUUAAAUACUGUGGAUGCCUCUA